GUCAGUUAGACCACUUCAUCUCAAUGAAGUGGAAUGGGUGCAGUGUCCCUGCUCCCUUAAUGCUGAAAGUCCUUUUCUUAAUUUAGCUUUUUCUGUUUAGUUUAUUGCUCUCUAAUUUAGCAACUUCAAAAAUGGCAAUCUCAUAUUAAGAUAUUUCUUUUACAUGUCUUUUAGAAACAUAGAUAGAUAUUCAGUGAAUUGUCAAUUCCACUUUUAUUGACAGACUUGCAACAAAUUAAUCACUAUGUGACAGACUCCACCACCCCCCCAUGCCCAAUAGAGGCUUUUAACUCUCCCCUUAGCCACAUUUCUUACUUUUAACUUGGUUGCCACUGCUACGUUCCCUCCACCUCAAAGGAAUAUGGACAACCAUCCUGUCACUCUCCAUUUCAUGUGAAAACAAACAACCCCUUGUACAAAUUUAAUACAGACCACUCGUCUAUUGCAUUCAUUUCACAUAAAAAAAUGCUUUCCAAACAGAUAUAUUUAAUUAGAGAAGACACACGCCAGAAAUGAACAAAAUAAACCAGUGGCCAACAGUUCUGGAUGCCAGAGCUCGACUGGCUCACUGGCAUACCGGGAAAUGUUCUGGUGGGCAAUCACAGGGUGACCAACAGAAGGAGAAGUGCUUCCCCUUUGCUGGCCACCGCAUGUAGCGUAGCCGAGCUGCAGACCACGGUAAACAAGCUUCUGUUCCCCUAAAAACGGGAAGUACUCACAGUAAGCGCCAAAUUGCUUUCAGUAAGAAGAAUUAGAGGAACAGAAGACCUCCACCGUGGUCUGAGGCUCGGCCGCAGAAGGUACAGGAGGGGCGGGAUGUAAAUGAGACACAUGGAGGAGGAGACAAAUGGAAAUGCUUGGGAGGUGGGUGAAAUAAGACACAUGGAGGGGCUGGGAAGAGAAGUGUGAAGAUGCUCAGGAGGGGGGGAAAUGAGACACAUGGAUGGGGUGGGUGGGAAUGAAACACAUGGAGAGGCUGAGGAAUGGUGGAAUAAAACUCAUGGAUUUGCUGGUGGCAAAUGAGACACAUAGAAGUGCUGCAGGGAGAAAUACACACAAAAGGGACUGGAGGAAAGAGACAUACAGUGGAGCCAGAGAAUAAAAAGAAGAGACACGUCUAGGGGUUGGAAUAAAGUAAAAGAUACACAAAGGGGGAUUGUAAGAGAUACACUAGACUGGAUAAGACAAUCAAAAGAGUGGAUGAGAAACACAAAAGGGGGUAACAAUUCAAAAGGGAGGUUAAGAGAUACACAGGUUAAGAUGUAUUUUUAAGAAUAACUUCAAUAUAUAGGAAAUUGUGCAUUUUUCCUUUAUCCUUAAUGAAUAUAUAUACUUAAUUCGACUAUGACAAUACAGCAGCUACAACGCA